rnacentral:rRNA from 1 species
UACGUAGGGACCAAGCGUUGUUCGGAUUUACUGGGCGUAAAGGGCGCGUAGGCGGCUUGACAAGUCACUUGUGAAAUCUCCGGGCUUAACUCGGAACGGCCAAGUGAAACUGUCAUGCUAGAGUGCAGAAGGGGCAAUCGGGAAUUCUUGGUGUAGCGGUGAAAUGGCGUAGAUAUCAAGAGGAACACCUGAGGUGAAGACGGGUUGCUGGGCUGACACGUGACGCUGAGGCGCGAAAGCCAGGGGAGCAAACGGGG